AAAAAGUCAGAAUACCGGCCUGCCGGGUCUUUUCUGACCGUUCCCGCUUCGCUGUAAAGAUAGUUGUAGUGAGUGAAGCGCGUUCAAGACCGGAAGCGCAGACGAGCUGAGGGGCGGGGCCGGAGGAAAGGAACUCGCGAUUCUACCUUAACAAUCUGAAUAUCACUGUCCUCCAUAUCCAUACUGUCUUCAGAUGGAUGAAUACACGCGCCUGUGUGCACCGUUCUACAAUGUGGCUCAUCUGAAGAAAGCUCGCAGCAGUCAAGUAAUUUACCAGCUCCAUCUCAGGGAAUUCCAGCAUACCACUAUAACAGGAUAAGAGCAAUUGUCUCCCCACUUCAGAACUCU